CGGCGGACGGGUGAGUAACGCGUGGGUAACCUACCCUGUACACACGGAUAACAUACCGAAAGGUAUGCUAAUACGGGAUAAUAUAUUUGAGAGGCAUCUCCCUGAAUAUCAAAGGUGAGCCAGUACAGGAUGGACCCGCGUCUGAUUAGCUAGUUGGUAAGGUAACGGCUUACCAAGGCGACGAUCAGUAGCCGACCUGAGAGGGUGAUCGGCCACAUUGGAACUGAGACACGGUCCAA
rnacentral:rRNA from 1 species